GCCAGGUGGUGGUGGCGCAUGCCUUUAAUUCCAGCACUUGGGAGGCAGAGGCAGGUGGAUUUCUGAGUUUGAGGCCAGCCUGGUCUACAAAGUGAGUUCCAGGACAGCCUGGGCUACACAGAGAAACCCUGUCUUAAAACAAAACAAAACAAACAACAACAACAACAAAACAAACAAACAGGGUUUCUCUGUGUAGCCCAGGCUGUCCUGGAACUCACUCUGUAGCCCAGGCUGGCCUCAAAUAAAGAGAUACUUCUGCC
rnacentral:lncRNA from 1 species